GCCUCGGUGGCCUAAUUGGAUAAGGCAUCCGUCUUCUAAACGGGAGAUUGUGGGUUCGACCCCCACUCGGGGCU
rnacentral:tRNA from 1 species